CUAACCCUGCGGUGCUCGACAGCGUACAUCGUGUGUCUUGAGCCGAUAAGCAAAUGCUAAGGAGAUCAGCACUGAGUCGGGAGUGCAAGCCCGCUUGACGGGAAGCCCAAAGAUUCACCAUGGUUUCCACUUGAACCUGAUGGUUCAAGAACCCCGUUCGCAUCGACACUGUGGGGCCUUU
rnacentral:other from 1 species